rnacentral:rRNA from 1 species
CGUACACUCCUACGGGAGGCAGCAGUGGGGAAUAUUGGACAAUGGGCGCAAGCCUGAUCCAGCCAUGCCGCGUGAGUGAUGAAGGCCCUAGGGUUGUAAAGCUCUUUCACCGGUGAAGAUAAUGACGGUAACCGGAGAAGAAGCCCCGGCUAACUUCGUGCCAGCAGCCGCGGUAAUACGAAGGGGGCUAGCGUUGUUCGGAUUUACUGGGCAUAAAGCGCACGUAGGCGGACUAUUAAGUCAGGGGUGAAAUCCCGGGGCUCAACCCCGGAACUGCCUUUGAUACUGGUAGUCUUGAGUUCGAGAGAGGUGAGUGGAAUUCCGAGUGUAGAGGUGAAAUUCGUAGAUAUUCGGAGGAACACCAGUGGCGAAGGCGGCUCACUGGCUCGAUACUGACGCUGAGGUGCGAAAGCGUGGGGAGCAAACAGGAUUAGAUACCCGUGUAGUCCC